rnacentral:rRNA from 1 species
AGCGAACGCUGGCGGCAGGCCUAACACAUGCAAGUCGAACGGACCCUUCGGGGUUAGUGGCGGACGGGUGAGUAACACGUGGGAACGUGCCUUUAGGUUCGGAAUAGCUCCUGGAAACGGGUGGUAAUGCCGAAUGUGCCCUUCGGGGGAAAGAUUUAUCGCCUUUAGAGCGGCCCGCGUCUGAUUAGCUAGUUGGUGAGGUAAUGGCUCACCAAGGCUACGAUCUAUAGCUGGUCUGAGAGGAUGAUCAGCCACACUGGGACUGAGACACGGCCCAGACUCCUACGGGAGGCAGCAGUGGGGAAUCUUGCGCAAUGGGCGAAAGCCUGACGCAGCCAUGCCGCGUGAAUGAUGAAGGUCUUAGGAUUGUAAAAUUCUUUUACCAGGGACGAUAAUGACGGUACCUGGAGAAAAAGCCCCGGCUAACUUCGUGCCAGCCGCCGCCGUAAAAC